UACGUAGGGGGCAAGCGUUGUCCGGAUUUAUUGGGCGUAAAGAGCGUGUAGGCGGCCUGACAGGUCUGCUGUGAAAACUCGAGGCUCAACCUCGAGAUGUCGGCGGAAACCGUCUGGCUAGAGUCCGGAAGGAGGAGAGUGGAAUUCCUGGUGUAGCGGUGAAAUGCGGCAGAUAUCAGGAAGAACACCUAUGGCGAAAGGCAGCUCUCUGGGGACGGUACCUGACGCUGAGACGCGAAAGAGUGGGGAGCGAACAGGAUAGACCCCGAGUAGU
rnacentral:rRNA from 1 species